rnacentral:rRNA from 1 species
GGGACGAACGCUGGCGGCGCGCUUAACACAUGCAAGUCGAGCGAGAACCAGGGCUUCGGCUCUGGGGACAGCGGCGAACGGGUGAGUAACACGUGGGUAAUCAACCCUCGACAUCGGGAUAGCCCGGGGAAACCCGGAUUAAUACCGAAUGCUCCGUCUGGCCUUCGGGCCGGCCGGAAAAGGUAGCUUCGGCCUCCGGUCGGGGACGAGCCCGCGGCGGAUUAGCUUGUUGGUGGGGUAACGGCCCACCAAGGCGACGACGGGUAGCCCGGCCUGAGAGGGCGACCGGCCACACUGGGACUGAGACACGGCCCAGACUCCUACGGGAGGCAGCAGUGGGGAAUAUUGCACAAUGGGCGAAAGCCUGAUGCAGCGACGCCGCGUGAGGGAUGACUGCCUUCGGGUUGUAAACCUCUUUCAGCAGGGACGAAGCGAAAGUGACGGUACCUGCAGAAGAAGCACCGGCAACUACGUGCCAGCACGCCGC